UUUUUUUUUUUUUUUUUUGCAGCUAACUUCUCAGAAUUAUUUCUGAAUUUAUCUAUUUGUUUAUUUGCAUUUCAUCCUCAUUUCCUGUAGUUGAUGUCAAUCCUGCUAAGUUCUUUUGAAAAUGCUGAGACAGUCAGCAGUGUGGCUUAGAAGAGUCCUCGUUUUCACAGACAUGAUAACUAGAAGGAGAUAAACAGUUACUUCUGCCAGCUCUGAAUAUAUUACUCAAAGUGGCCUUCACCUGUUUAAACAGCUGCCACAUAGUUUAGUGUUAGCCAUUAAAUGUUAGUUACUUCAAAUAAGCAGCUAAGCAUCGAAUCAUCUACUUUAGAGGAAAUACUUCUGAUGACGAUUGAUUACUAUUAUAUUUAGUUAAUACUUCAUGAUUAUUUUUCUAAAUGAUUUUAAUAGUGAUAUAAGUUUCCUUUUCAAUAAAUAUUUUAUAGCAAAUAUUUUGUAUCUAAGGUGGUUAACUUUUAAUAAGAUUUCUAGUAUUUUAAUUAAAAUAUCCAAAAUCUGUAAUAAAAUUAGAAAUGUUGUGUUUUCUUAGUGUUCUUCUGAUGUUAUUUUAUUCUGCUUGCUCAUUGUCACAUGGACUCACCAUCAAUUUCCUAUUGUCCCUUCUUCUCUUCUGCUCAAAGACAGGGGGUAGUAAGGUAAGUGUUUUAUUAGGAGCAUAUUCUGUAAAAUGUUUAGUAUUUUAUUUUGAUCCUUAUGUCCAGGCACUAACUUUUUCUAUAAAACAUUUAGUUGCACUUGCCAAAAAUAAUUAGAAAAUGAAACCUGUAUUGUAAUUUUGAAAGUAGGACUUCAUUACAAGUUAGUUUUACCAAUGAUUUUUCUUGGACUGAGAAGAUUAUCAAGUUAAUGAACAUAUGUUCUGUGUAAUAAAAUUUAAUAUACUCAUGCAUUUAAAAAUAUUAAAAUAGGAUAAAUAUGGUAUCUUUAUGCUUAACAAUAUUACAUGGAUAAGAAAGUCAGUUGGAGUGCUGGCUUGCAGCUGCCUUCAGUAAGCUGAAAGUCCUCAGAGCAACUCUAAAGGAGACAACAUGAAAAUUGUCGAUUUUAGAAGAAAAGAUCACUAAUUCUAGAGGAGUGACGGGUGAAAAGGAUGAGAAGUGCUCUUGAGACUAGAUUGUUCAGAUGUCCAGCUGCUACUCUUGAAUGUCCAACAGCAGAAAUCAUCUGGGAGACUCAUUAUGCAUUUUCAACAGAAUAAUAUAUGCAAAGAUGAGUCCAGAGUGUGCCUUUGAUCUCUGAAGAGGCCCACAUAAUCUCCCAUGAACUUAACUGGGCUGAGGCAUCCAGUCCUAGGCCUGUCUGUGAAGUACUGUAUUCAGUACUGCACUCACUCCAUGUUAAUGGAGUGCUGGAGCAGAAAGCACAGAGUGAAGCGAAGUCUGAAGGCUGCUUCUGAGAACACUCAGUUAUUUAGGAGUCACUGGGUUAGAAAACAGGAAGCUAAGUAGAGAGGAAUUGCAGUCACAAGUGCAAGUGCCCUGUGCUUGGAUCACCGUCUGCCAGGAAGGCGUGAUAGCAGACUUCUGUGAUCCCGUUCAGUUCUGUUAGUGAUUUUUUUUUUUACCAUCACCCUCCUCCUGCCCCUGGGUCUGAAUCCAGGCCUCAGGUGAUGGCCAGUGUUCCAAAACAGCUGCAUCCUCACCCUUGUGGUUUUAUUUCAUUUUAUUUUGGUGUUCUGAGACAGAAUCUUAAGUAUAUAUAGCCAAAGCUGAAUGAAAUUUGAGGUCCCUUCUUAGCUGUCCAAAUGCUGGGCUCUCAGACACCUGCCUAGCUUUGUUCUCCUAUUCAGGGAACUAUUCCCUAUUCCCAAGAGUGGGAGUGAGAGAGAUUUGCUCUGUGGCUCUGGCUGCCCUGGUACUAAUAGUGUCACUUAGGCUACCCCUGAGCUCACAGCAAUCCUCUUGCUUCAGCUUCCCAGAGAGUGCUGGCAUUAUAGAUGAACACCACCACACAAAGUUGGCAUUUUUCUCUUUAACAGUACUUUGGUAGCCAAGUCUUAAACUUGCCCUGAAUGAUGACCGAGUCUGUUUGCUUGAGUUGGUACCUGGAGACCUUCUUAGAUAUGAAUGAUGGUCUCAUUAGAUAGCUUCCUUAAAGGCGGCCCCAGUGAUACCUAGCUAAGGGCCUCUUCUUCUGAAUUCCUCCUUUCUGAAUUCUCUCAUGUCUUCCUUUUUUAUCUUCUGAUUUCUAUGCCAUUAAUGGAAUAAUUGGAACUUUUCUUACAUACAGUAAUAAACAAAAAACAAGUCUUUAUAGUUUAUCUGCGCUAAACCUAACAAUAUUUCAUUAUGAACGAUACUGUUGUAAUGUUUGAAAUUCUAAUAUAUGUGAUAAUCCUUCUCCUUUUUCCUUUGCUGCUGAGAAGAGGAUCUAGGUAACCCUCUCUUUGUUGUUUAUGAGACUAAAUUUUGUGUUUUGAUCACCUCUCCUACUUGCCAUUAAUGAGCAGUGCUGCUUUGUUUCUGCUUUUCCUCCCUCUGAAGGCGUCUUCAUUAUUUGGCUUACAUAAGUCACUCUAUUACUAAAAUUUUAUCCAAGUUGAAUAGUUUUCAAGUCAAAGUUGUAAAUGAAAGUUCAUUUUAGGCAGUAAUAUAAUUUAUGUAAAUAGCCCUUAUAAAAAUUAAAGUAUGCUUAAUUGCUGUAUGUGAUUAUAGAUAAAAGUUGCAAAUGGAAUUAGAAUUAAAGCUAUCAGAUACUUAAAAUUUGAAUAAAGUUUACCAACAACAUUGACUUGGAAAAAAAGUCAGGUUUUCUAUCUUCUUUGAAUUGCUCUUGGUAGGGAUAUUCUUAAAUGUUAAGUAUUAUAAAUUUAAUUCUGUAUUUAUGGACAUUCAAAAAUAUGAAGGUUUGCACUUUAAAUUCCUAUGAGAACUUAGAAACUUACAUGUUCUUGACACUUUUAUGACACCAGUCAGUUUUGCUCGUCCAUAUUAUUCGUGCUCUGUGUGAAUAUAUACAUUUAUUUAACACUGUUUUACAGUACUCGGGAUAAAAUAUAGGCUUUGCUUAUGUUAGGCCACUAUGCUACCUCCAGGCCAGCUCUCCAACAUCCUGCAUUUAUUUAGAAUGCAUGUUCCCUAUGCAGCCCUGGGGCUGAAGAGAUGGCUCAGUGGUUAAGAGCACUGGCUGCUCUUACAGAGGAAUCGCUGCUUUCAGUACCUGAACUCCAUGGUGGCUUCCAAACAUCCUUAAUUUUUAGUUCUAGGACAUCUGACAUCUCUUCUGACCCCUCUGGGCUCCUACAUGCAUGUGAUGCCCAUACAUGCACUAAGACAUGUACCAACGUGUAUGUACAUGCACAUACACACACACACAUACACACAAUUAAAUAUUUUUAAAAAGAUGUAACACUUCUUUUAGCUUUGCAAAUCUGUAACUUGACAGUAAUUCUGUAAACUAUUUAUAUAGCUUUAAUAAAUUAUUAAGUGUUGGACGUUUUUAUAAAAAUAAUGAGUAUCAUUUCUAAUUUAGUUAUAAGUUGAAUAUUUAGAUUUUAGAGAUAAGUUAAUGAAUGAUUUAGAUUCAGUGUUCAGAUUACAAAAUAUUUGAAUAAUAGUUGAGAUGGACUUGUAAGUGGCUUUUAAAAAUUAAAGGUUUUACCAAAAUGCCCUCACAACUAUAUAAUUCAGAAUAUGAAUCUGUACCCAGCUGGAAUAGGGAGCAUUUUAGUAGAACCUGAGCAGAUAGGGAAGGGCUUGACUCAAGAGCCAUGAUAUAGGGAAAGGGGAUAAAUAUUCCAUUAGCAGAUUAGGGAAGAGGGCAAUCUGGGGACAGUAGUUGUGGUAAUGACCUUUGGUAGGGUGUUGUAUGGUUUUCAUCGCUUUAUGAUGAUAAAACGUCUUCCUGAAUACCUUCCUGAUGCUGAUACUGGAAGUCAGGCAGGGCAUGGAAUGGAGGAGCAUGGAGGGAUGUAUAAAUUUGAAUUCAUGUGAAUCAUGUUACCAACAGUGUAGAAAGUUCAUGAAAAUGUUAUCCAAAUUCUCUGUUCAGAAUGUUUUAUAUAUCUGCUAUGUGAGUCAUAAGGGAGGCUUUAGAACAGUAAUUCAGACUUUGAUGAUAAUUUAUCCAGAAAUGUUUUGAGUAUGUCAAACUAACAUUCUUAUAUUUGCCUAUUCUUAUGCUGAUUUAUUUACAGUAUAAGACAUAGACC
rnacentral:lncRNA from 1 species